GAGUGGCGAACGGGUGAGUAACACGUGGGUAAUCUGCCCUGCACUCUGGGAUAAGCCUUGGAAACGGGGUCUAAUACCGGAUAUCACAACUUCAGGCAUCUGGGGUUGUUGAAAGUUCUGGCGGUGCAGGAUGAACCCGCGGCCUAUCAGCUUGUUGGUGGGGUAAUGGCCUACCAAGGCGACGACGGGUAGCCGGCCUGAGAGGGUGACCGGCCACACUGGGACUGAGACACGGCCCAGACUCCUACGGGAGGCAGCAGUGGGGAAUAUUGCACAAUGGGCGAAAGCCUGAUGCAGCGACGCCGCGUGAGGGAUGACGGCCUUCGGGUUGUAAACCUCUUUCGCCAGGGACGAAGCGCAAGUGACGGUACCUGGAUAAGAAGCACCGGCUAACUACGUGCCAGCAGCCGCGGUAAUACGUAGGGUGCAAGCGUUGUCCGGAAUUAUUGGGCGUAAAGAGCUCGUAGGCGGUUUGUCACGUCGGCCGUGAAAUCUCCACGCUUAACGUGGAGCGUGCGGUCGAUACGGGCAGACUUGAGUUCGGUAGGGGAGACUGGAAUUCCU
rnacentral:rRNA from 3 species